AGGGGUGACCAACUGUCUCUGUGCCCAGGAUUGAGGGAUUUCCUAGGAUGCAGCAGUUUCAGUGCUUUCAGAACAGUCCUGGGUAAACUAGGCUAGGUGGUCACUCUGAAACUCA
rnacentral:miRNA from 1 species